UGUGAAAAUUUUUAUUCAUUUGUACUAUUAAAAAUAGAUGUGAUGUGCUAUGUAUAUAUCAUGUUGACUUAUAAAGACCAGUUUUUAACAGUAAAAAUAAAUAUAAUUUUUAACA
rfam:Gossypium raimondii Chr02_contig_1477, whole genome shotgun sequence.